UCUUAAGGAUGAGCAAAGAAAGUGGUUUUUUGAGAUGAAGUCUACUCCUGCUGAUGAUUCUGUGAA
rnacentral:pre_miRNA from 1 species